rnacentral:lncRNA from 1 species
AUUUCAAAAUUGAAAAAAAAAAAUCUCAAAUCCAAAACACUCCUGGUCCCAAGAAUUUGGAAUAAGGGAUGCUCAACCUAUACUUGACAUUUGUUGAUGGUGAAUUCUUUCUUCCUUCUUUCUUUCUCCAUUUUCCUCUUCCUUUCCUUUUAAUACUGACAUAAAAUAAUACAGACAUAAAAAUGGCUUCCCUGUUAAUAUGUGGAAGGGAAGUUCUUGUCACUGGUUCAGAUGGUUUGUAAACCUUUCAGCUCCACUGAACUGGCUUUAGGUCCCCAACUAGGAGUGUCUCUCUGGAAAGAUACUACUGGGGGCAGGACAAGGACCUUGGUGCUCUUGGUACAGGUCAUCCAGUGAACUGGUGACUGGAAGCCAAGGAUUCUGCUUCCAACUCCCCUGCCUUUUGUAGGGGUUUCUCCUGUUAGUAAACUAUUGCUAUUUGAAUGUCAGCUUGAAUGUCCCCCAAAAUGGCUUUCAUUUCUUGAAGGAGAACAUCCCUUAGAACUUCCCAAGCAGAGCAUUUUUAACCAUGGGGCAUUACUGUGUGAUGCCUGGGGCCUUCUACCUGGCGCCUUCUAAAAAUGUCUAGGACCUUGGAACCCACUUUUGGUUUGAGCAUCCUUCAACCAGAAACCUGAAGUGUGAAUUUUUUGAGAAUGAAAAUAAUGCCCCCAUCUCCAAGUUUUGGAUUUUGAAGCAUCUGGGAUUUGGGGUUUUUGGAUUAGGGAUGUGCUCAACAGGAUAAUCUACACAAAUAUUACAAAAUCAGAAAUCUAAAUCUAGCUCCAGGCAUUUCAGAUAAGGGAUACUCAAUCCUUUAGUCAAAAUAGAAUAGCUAUACAAUUAAAAUUAGUGUUAAAAAUCUACUGAAUGUAAUGUUAACUUCACUAAUUAUUGAUUUGGUUAAAAAAAUUCAUUUGGAAGCAGUGUGUAGACUGGAUUCAAUUUUUAACUUAAUAAAAAUUUCCAACUAUGCUGAGAUAAUUGCUGAAAAACUAAUAAUUAUAUAUUAAAUUGUUUUUUUUUUCUUUUUAUGGUAAUGGGGACUGAAUCCAGGGUUACUCUACCACUGAGCCUUAUCUACAGUCUUUUUUAAUUUUUAAGACAGGGUCUUGUUAAGUUGCCCAGGCUGGCCUUGAAUUUGC